CGCUCUUCAACACCGCGACUGCCGUAAAUACCGUCAAAACUGAAUGGUGGAUUUCUUCGAAAAACGUACCGUGAAAGGCAGGCACACUUCAAGGCUGAGAAAAGGACGGACAUGAACACAUACGCCUAACCAUUUUGAAAUGAAAUGUUGUCAAAUAAAUGUGUGUCCAACUUUUGUGACAGUUUAUUGACUUACAUUGAUUCUGCCAAGUUACAACCCGCCUGCUAACAGUAGUGAAGCCUUUUUUAUCAAUACUGCUGAAGCAAGCUUAAGUGUGCUGUUAAUCACCCGAGGAGAAAGGACAUUUUAGUGAAAGACAACGAAAAAUAGGGGCAAAGUUACGUUUAUUGGCCCACACUGAAGUACUCGAAUAGGCAGACCAUGAAGAACCCCUAAAAAGGACCUGUUUCAGCGGGGAAUCGAACCAAGGAUCGGCCCUAACUAUUCCCAAGGAUCCAUCUGGAGCGACAUUCAGCCAUGCUUACCAUCUUUGAAACCUUGUGACGCAGAAGGAGGGCUACAACACACAGAAACCAGAGAGAAACAGUUUACUGUAAGAGAUUUAUGACCACAGCAUGCUUUCACCAAACGUUAAGAGCCUCUUGUGAAGAGACCAGAAGAGGAUUACGGGGACAGAUCUUGAGGACCCAAGGAGAUGAGGAGUGGAGGAGUGGAGGAGCUGGUCUCUCUGGAUCCCAGAAAGACUUGAAUUUACCGUCUGGGACUGGUGGCUCUGCUGCAAAGCGGCAUGGGAGAUCAGGGGAAGAGAGAUGAUGAUUAUGGAAAUGAGCAAGCUCUCUUUCUGAAAGAUUAAACAGGCCACUGAUUGCUUUUACAUAACCUUCACCCAGUGACACACAUGCUUGCUCUGUCCCUUUCUCUCGCUUUCAAACUUACCCACACACAUGUUGUUGUUUUUGUUCUUUUUCUCUGGUCUCUGUUGUCACUCCUGUGUAAAAGUGCCCUCUCCCCAACCUGUCAUUUGUUAUUUUCAGCCUCAGACACACACGGCAUAGCCACACACUCUGAAUUUUGAGAGCUGCAGUUUGAUUCAUCGGACCCCUGAGGUCAUUACCCUUCCAUCUCAAAACCUUCAUUCAAUUUUUGUUUACAAAUUAUUACGAGUGCAUGUAAUUCUUUUAUUGAAUUAUAGUGGGUGCAUGUGACUGUGUGUUAAGUUGUGUUGACAAAGUAGUCAUUUCAUACCCUGAAACAGGAGAUGUCACCGUGUUUAUAUCAAGUGUCGACCUCCUGCCGCGAGAAUUUAAUGGUAAUAUGGAAGUGUUAAAAACUGCAGUUUCUCGAGUGUCUGCUUGAGGCUGGCUCCGGAAGCACCGGAAACCACAUACACACUGAUUCAGAAAAGCCGAUCUUUACAGCAGAAAUAAACAUGUUUGCAGCCUGGUACACAAAAUGAAUGUAGUCUGGAAAGCUCAUUUCUUGGUUGGCACAAACUGUACGUGGGGUGAUUUUUUCAUAACAAAGCAGUUUCGAAGAUAUUAAGAUUACAAGUUUACCA